UAAUGUAGCAAUACAGGACAGCGGCGAAAGGGAGAGGACAACAUAGGAAUCUGCCCUGGGGUCGGGGAUAGCGUCGGGAAACUGACGGUAAUACCCGAUAAUAUCCAAGGAUCAAAGGAGCAAUUUGCCCCGGGAUGAGCCUAUGCCCCAUUAGCUAGUUGGCGGUGUAAUGGACCACCAAGGCUGUGAUGGGUAGCUGGUGUGAGAGCACGACCAGCCUCACUGGCACUGAGACACUGGCCAGACACCUACGGGUGGCUGCAGUCGAGAAUCUUCGGCAAUGGACGAAAGUCUGACCGAGCGACGCCGCGUGUGGGAUGAAGGUCUUCGGAUUGUAAACCACUGUCGAGGGGGAUUAAGGGAAACUUGAAAGAACCCUGGAGGAAGGGGAGGCUAA
rnacentral:rRNA from 1 species